GUAGGUGGCAAGCGUUGUCCGGAAUUAUUGGGCGUAAAGCGCGCGCAGGCGGUUCUUUAAGUCUGAUGUGAAAGCCCACGGCUUAACCGUGGAGGGUCAUUGGAAACUGGAGAACUUGAGUACAGAAGAGGAAAGCGGAAUUCCACGUGUAGCGGUGAAAUGCGUAGAGAUGUGGAGGAACACCAGUGGCGAAGGCGGCUUUCUGGUCUGUAACUGACGCUGAGGCGCGAAAGCGUGGGGAGCAAACAGGGAUUAGAUACCCUGGUAGUCCACGCCGUAAACGAUGAGUGCUAAGUGUUAGGGGGGUUUCCCGCCCCUUAGUGCUGCAGCUAACGCAUUAAGCACUCCGCCUGGGGAUACGGCCGCAAGGCUG
rnacentral:rRNA from 1 species